rnacentral:rRNA from 1 species
GACAGAGGGUGCAAACGUUGUUCGGAAUCACUGGGCGUAAAGCGCGUGUAGGCGGUCUGGAAAGUCGGGCGUGAAAUCCCACGGCUCAACCAUGGAAGUGCACUCGAAACUGCUAGACUAGAGUCCUGGAGAGGAAGGCGGAAUACUCGGUGUAGAGGUGAAAUUCGUAGAUAUCGAGUGGAACACCGGUGGCGAAGGCGGCCUUCUGGACAGUGACUGACGCUGAAACGCGAAAGCGUGGGGAGCAAACAGG